rnacentral:sRNA from 1 species
UAAUAAGGAUUGAAUGCUGUGCCGCGUCCUGCGGCAACGCAUUCAUGACUCACGUCGUGUGAG